rnacentral:lncRNA from 1 species
GUACAGCCUCAGGCCGGGGCCCCCUGGAAGGAUGUGGGGAAAACAAGUGUUGCUCUUCUGUGGAGAGAGGUGGUCUCUGGCCAAGACCCUGAGGGUGGAAUUGUCCUCAGUUUCCACUCACAAGUUCCUGCGGAGGCCAGGUGGGCUGAAGGCAUGACCACUCAGGCAUAUUAGCCCUGUCCUUGGCUCCUGCAAGGACGAGAACCCAGGGAAUCUCCAGCCUCUGCCGGCUCCUAGGGGACCGCUGCCAAGCAUGAGAAACCAACCAGUGAACGCACCACGGCACCGGCCUGGUUUUCUAGGGUAGCUGGAUUGUCCCGCAAAGUCGGCACGGUUCACGCACAGCAGCUCAACUGAGAACACGGAAGGUCAGUUUAUCCAGCAGUCGUGACUCCGCCGGCCGCCAGCCAGCAGAGAGCAAGGAGCCUCUUCCAGCUGCAGGAAGGGAAGGGUUUUCAAGG